GACGAACGCUGGCGGCGUGCUUAACACAUGCAAGUCGAACGAAGUGGCGAACGGGUGAGUAACGCGUAAUCAACCUGCUCUUCAGAGGGGGAAAACAGUUGGAACCGACUGCUAAUACCCCAUACUGAAGGAGUGGAUUGCGUCUGAUUAGCUAGUUGGAGGGGUAACGGCCCACCAAGGCGAUGAUCAGUAGCCUGGCUGAGGGGUAGAACGGGCAAAUGGGGACUGGGGAAAGGCCCAAGAUCCUACGGGGGGCAGGAGGUGGGAAACAUCCGACAUGGAGCGAAGGCUGAAGGAGCAAAGCCGGGGGAGUGAGGAAGGCCGUCGGGUUGGAAAGCUAUGUUAAGCGGGACGCGGUACCGGAAUAGAAAGCAACGGCUAACUACGUGCCAGCAGCCGCGGUAAUAC
rnacentral:rRNA from 1 species